AUUGAACGCUGGCGGCAGGCUUAACACAUGCAAGUCGAGCGGAGAUGAGGUGCUUGCACCUUAUCUUAGCGGCGGACGGGUGAGUAAUGCUUAGGAAUCUGCCUAUUAGUGGGGGACAACAUUCCGAAAGGAAUGCUAAUACCGCAUACGCCCUACGGGGGAAAGCAGGGGAUCUUCGGACCUUGCGCUAAUAGAUGAGCCUAAGUCGGAUUAGCUAGUUGGUGGGGUAAAGGCCUACCAAGGCGACGAUCUGUAGCGGGUCUGAGAGGAUGAUCCGCCACACUGGGACUGGGACACGGCCCAGACUCCGACGGGAGGCAGCAGUGGGGAAUAUUGGACAAUGGGCGGAAGCCUGAUCCAGCCAUGCCGCGUGUGUGAAGAAGGCCUUUUGGUUGUAAAGCACUUUAAGCGAGGAGGAGGCUACCUGGAUUAAUACUCUAGGAUAGUGGACGUUACUCGCAGAAUAAGCACCGGCUAACUCUGUGCCAGCAGCCGCCGUAAGAC
rnacentral:rRNA from 1 species